GGUUCGAUCAUGGCUCAGAUUGAACGCUGUGAGAUACUUUACACAUGCAGUCGAACGGCCUUUGGACUCGAUCUGGUGGCGAGUGGCGAACGGGUGAGUAAUGUAUCGGAACGUGCCUAGUAGCGGGGGAUAACUACGCGAAAGCGUAGCUAAUACCGCAUACGCCCUUCAGAAAGCGGGGGACCUUCGGGCCUCGCACUAUUAAACGGCCGAUAUCGGAUUAGCUAGUUGGUGGGAGUAACGGCUCACCAAGGCGACGAUCCGUAGCUGGUUUGAAGGACGACCAGCUACACUGGGACUGAGACACGGCCCAGACUCCUGCGAGGCAACAGUGGGAAUUUUGGACAAUGGGGGAAACCCUGAUCCAGCCAUCCCGCGUGUGCGAUGAAGGCCUUCGGGUUGGCAAGCACUUUUGGCAGAAAAGAAACGGCACGGGAUAAUACCCCGUGCAACUGACAGUACCUGCAGAAUAAGCACCGGCUAACUACGUGCCAGCAGCCGCGGUAAUACGUAGGUGCAGAAAGCGUUAAUCGGAAUUACUGGGCGUAAAGCGUGCGCGAGCGGUUCGGAAAGAAAGAUGUGAAAUCCCAAACUUAACUUUGGAACUGCAUUUUUAACUACCGAGCUAGAGUGUGUCAGAGGAGGUGGAAUUUUGCGUGUAGCAGUGAAAUGCGUAGAUAUGCGGAAGAACACCGAUGGCGAGGCAACCUCUGGAUAACACUGACGCUCAUGCGAAGAAGCGUGGGGAGCAAACAGGAUUAGAUACCCUGGUAGUCCACCUACGCGAUGUCAACUAGCUGUUGGGGCCUUCGGGCCUUGGUAGCGCAGCUAACGCGUGAAGUUGACCGCCUGGGGAGUACAGUCGCAAGAUUAAAACUCAAAAUUGACAGGGACCCGCACAAGCAGUGGAUGAUGUGGAUUAAUUCGAUGCAACGCGAAAAACCUUACCUACCCUUGACAUGUCUGGAAUCCCGAAGAGAUUUGGGAGUGCUCGCAAGAGAACCGGAACACAGGUGCUGCAUGGCUGUCGUCGGCUCGUGUCGUGAGAUGUUGGGUUAAGUCCGCAACGAGCGCAACCCUUGUCAUUAGUUGCUACGAAGAAUAAUGAGACUGCCGGUGACAAACCGGAGGAAGGUGGGGAUGACGUCAAGUCCUCAUGGCCCUUAUGGGUAGGGCUUCACACGUCAUACAAUGGUCGGGACAGAGGGUCGCCAACCCGCGAGGAGCCAAUCCCAGAAACCCAGGCAGUAGUCGGAUCGCAGUCUGCAACUCGACUGCGUGAAGUCGGAAUCGCUAGUAAUCGCGGAUCAGCAUGUCGCGGUGAAUACGUUUGGUCUUGUACACACCGCCCGUCACACCAUGGGAGUGGGAUUUUACCCGAAGUAGUUAGCCUAACCGUAAGGAGGGCGAUUCACCACGGUAAGUUCAUGACUGGGGUGAAGUCGUAACAAGGUAG
rnacentral:rRNA from 1 species